rnacentral:rRNA from 1 species
AGUCGAACGAUGAUCUCCAGCUUGCUGGGGGGAUUAGUGGCGAACGGGUGAGUAACACGUGAGUAACCUGCCCUUGACUCUGGGAUAAGCCUGGGAAACUGGGUCUAAUACCGGAUACGACCGUCCCGCGCAUGCGGUGGUGGUGGAAAGCUUUUGCGGUUUUGGAUGGACUCGCGGCCUAUCAGCUUGUUGGUGGGGUAAUGGCCUACCAAGGCGACGACGGGUAGCCGGCCUGAGAGGGUGACCGGCCACACUGGGACUGAGACACGGCCCAGACUCCUACGGGAGGCAGCAGUGGGGAAUAUUGCACAAUGGGCGAAAGCCUGAUGCAGCGACGCCGCGUGAGGGAUGACGGCCUUCGGGUUGUAAACCUCUUUCAGUAGGGAAGAAGCGAAAGUGACGGUACCUGCAGAAGAAGCGCCGGCUAACUACGUGCCAGCAGCCGCGGUAAUACGUAGGGCGCAAGCGUUAUCCGGAAUUAUUGGGCGUAAAGAGCUCGUAGGCGGUUUGUCGCGUCUGCUGUGAAAGACCGGGGCUCAACUCCGGUUCUGCAGUGGGUACGGGCAGACUAGAGUGAUGUAGGGGAGACUGGAAUUCCUGGUGUAGCGGUGAAAUGCGCAGAUAUCAGGAGGAACACCGAUGGCGAAGGCAGGUCUCUGGGCAUUAACUGACGCUGAGGAGCGAAAGCAUGGGGAGCGAACAGGAUUAGAUACCCUGGUAGUCCAUGCCGUAAACGUUGGGCACUAGGUGUGGGGGACAUUCCACGUUUUCCGCGCCGUAGCUAACGCAUUAAGUGCCCCGCCUGGGGAGUACGGCCGCAA